rnacentral:sRNA from 1 species
CUUCACCCAACCUCAUCGAUCCUCAGGAGCUCCGUCACUGGCUCAAAGAACUGAGGUUUACUUACAUUGCAUACCUAAUACUGACUUGUUGCUCCUCUUCUCCGCUUCUUACUACUCUCGCCAUGAUGGUUGUUAUUACCGACUCUAUUACUGUCAUGACACUGAUGUACAUCGCCUUUGGUGAUCCUUCGUGAUGAUGUGUACGGUGGUGUUCCCUCUUUUUAUAGGGGAUUGCAGACGAUAGAAGUUAGUUGGCAUGGGGGACGGAGUGAAGCGGUAAGAGUGCCCAUACCCAACCCAAAAGGAAAAAAAAAAUCUUAAAAAUUCCGAAAUUUCGACCAAAUAUUCCUGAUAUUUGGGUUGGUUAUUAAUAUGGGCGCUCUGCACUGCAGUAGUAGCAGCAGAGCAGAUGCAGCAGCAGCAUAUGAUGGUGAUGGUGCACUUCCCCC